GUGAGGAGGAUCAAGCUGGGGUCGCAGGGCCUGGAGGUGACGGCGCAGGGGCUGGGCUGCAUGGGUAUGUCCGCCUUCUACGGCCCUCCCAAGUCCGACCCCGACAUGAUCGCCCUCAUCCACCACGCCGUCGGCUCCGGCGUCACCUUCCUCGACACCUCCGACGUCUACGGCCCCCACACCAACGAAAUCCUCCUCGGAAAGGUCGGUUCUCUCAGUCUCUCUUUUGCCUCCGCAUGAAUUAUAUAGGGGAUUUAGCUUCAUCGAGCAGUGUGCUCCGAUCCUGCGCCUUGGUUUUCUGAUUUCGGGGUUGAUUUUGAGCAGGCACUGAAGGGAGGGGUGAGGCAGAAGGUGGAAUUGGCGACCAAGUUCGGAAUCAGCUUCGCGGACGGGAAGAGGGAGAUCCGGGGUGAUCCGGCGUACGUGAGGGCGGCUUGCGAGGCCAGCUUGAAGCGGCUCGACAUCGAUUGCAUCGACCUCUACUACCAACAUCGCAUCGACACUCGCGUCCCCAUCGAAGUCACUGUAUGGAUCCCUCAUCAAACCUUUACCUCUCUUAAGACAUUCUCCGAGUGAUCAGUUGCUAAAUUAGAUUGGUGUUGAUGAUGCAUCAUCAUCAAGAUAUCGUUAAAUGAGACUUGAGUUCAGAUGAUAGCAGAGUUCAAGAUGCGGCACGGUGUUGUUCAAGGGAUUGUGGAAUUUAGUAGUUUAUAUGGCUUGAGUUUUUGUUUUAUGGGUCAACAAGCAUGAAAAUUAUUUGAAUUCUUUAUUUGAGAUGAAAGUGCUCCAGGGUUCAUCCUGAUUUAUAUCUGAGAAUCACAUUUGAAGUUGUUCCUGGACUUUCUGCGGAGACAUUUGGUUCUUGACAUGUCAUUGUGAAUUAUGACAAGUACUUGGAAUACUUCUUUAAUUUGCCUUCUUCUGUAAUAGAUUAGAGAGAUCCACCUCCGUUAACGCAAUACCUUGCGACUUUCUUGUUGCAUUGAGAUGCACAAAGAUUGACUAUUUUUUGCUGGGAGCUACCUAGUCAAAUUGUAAUGUUUGAGAAGUCAGGGAACACAAACUAUUCAGGCAUCAGGACACAAGAAAAACUAAUGAUGUUCAAUAAUUUCUGGACUUAACAUGUAAGAUCUUGACGAUUGUUGUUUUUUCAUGUGAAUAUGCACAGAUUGGAGAGCUAAAGAAGCUCGUUGAAGAGGGUAAGAUCAAGUACAUCGGUUUAUCCGAGGCCUCUGCGUCAACAAUCAGAAGAGCACAUGCUGUUCAUCCCAUCACAGCGGUGCAACUGGAGUGGUCGCUGUGGUCAAGAGAUGUGGAGGCAGAGAUCAUUCCCACGUGCAGGUAGGAUAUCACUGUUUAUUUGUUUAUGCAGUAACAACAUCUUUCUUCUGACUCUGCUCUUCCUUUAAAAUGUUGACUAGGGAGCUUGGCAUUGGAAUUGUUGCCUACAGUCCUCUUGGACGAGGAUUCCUUUCUGUUGGCUCCAAGUUGGUGGAGAAUCUCUCCAAGGAUGACUUCAGACAGGUCUGUUUCUGCUGGUCAACAUAAUUAGAUGCUCACAGUGACUGUCAUUCCCAUUGAAGUGCUGGAAACCUGUUCUUAUGCUAUAAAGAAAAAGUAUCUGGAUGUUAUGAAUAAAACUUUAUGACACAAACGCUUCAUAUUCUUAUUCGAUCCAGCACUCGCCAGUCAUCCCACCUCUCGUGAUUCUAGAUAAAUUUAAAAAUCACAAGUAAUGGCUUUAAUGAGCCUGAAAGGGGCAGUUUCCCAGAUUCUUGUGCUUUUGGGAAUGAAUAAAUAUAGGUUUAUUUGUAAGUUGCUCCGUUUCCCAGCUUUCCCACCAUUUGCUAAUCACUAUCCUUUCCCCGCUUUCCACCCACCCUUUUUCUCUCAAUUCUUUAGAAGAUUAGCAAUAUUUGCUCAAAAUAACCGACACCAAUAUUGGGCCUUGGCCUCCGUCCUUUUUUUUUUCUCAUUUUUCUUCACAAGAUAAAUUAUAUCUUGACACAACCAUUUCUUGAGUGAGGACUCCCUAACACCCUUCUUAUGGUAGUUUUGGGAUCAAGUUCCCAUCUGACAUAAAGCCAAUUGUGUAUUACUCCCGGCCAUUAGUGUUUGACUAGCGAUAGUGCUGGGCAAGUGAAGUAGCUAUUUUUCUUUAUAGCUAAAAGAGCUUUGCGUCUGAUAACAUUCUUCUACACGUCAUCUACCUUUUGUGAUUUUUUUUUCUUAUGUGUAUCAUACGUACAAAACUUAGAUUGUCGAGUUUGUUUCUGUUUUCACAUCCUACAUCAAACCCAUCAGCCUUGUGUGGUAGUUGCUAGAUCACUUGGCUUGGCGUUUCUAAUGCUUAUGAUUUGGGGCUAGAUUUUUUAAUCAUUUCAAGAUAAUCUAUAACUGAUCAUGCUUUUCCAGGUACACAACAAUUGUGCACUUCUAAAUGCUUAUUAUGUCAAGUAACAAGGCAAUCUGUUGGCAUGCAAUGCGAUCACUUUUGCACCUGUUGCUGUAGAAUUUGGCCUUAAAAGGAAAAUGAUAGUUGCUCAUAUGCUUUCUGCUGAGACAUUGCUCUAUGUUAUGCAGUACCUACCAAGGUUCCGGCCAGAGAACUUGGCUCACAACACAAAGUUAUUCGACCGAGUGAAUGAAAUUGCACAAAGAAAGGGAUGCACCCCGUCGCAGUUAGCCCUCGCCUGGGUACACCACCAGGGUGAUGAUGUUUGCCCAAUUCCUGGCACGACCAAGAUUGAGAAUUUCAACCAGAACAUCGGAGCUCUAUCAGUGAAGCUUACACCGGAAGAGAUGGCGGAGCUCGAAUCGAUUGCUUCUGCAGACAAUGUCAAGGGUGGCAGGUACGAUGGAAACCUCUCUACAUGGGAAAACUCCGACACUCCACCCCUUUCUUCUUGGAAACCUGCCUAGAAACAUGUCUACUUCUUUUGCUGCGUCUUUGAUAUGCAGAGUUUGUGCAUUUGCCGCUGAAGUAAUUUGAGGCUAUGUUGUGUGGCUUUUAUAAGUAUGUGUAAUAAGAGUGACUGUUUUCGUUUUGUACAACAUGUGACAUUCACUAUGAGAAGAUUAUGGAUAUGUACUAAGCUUACUGGGGAAAGAUCACUCGAUAAACACAAGAGCGAGUUGAAUAUGAACUGAGCCUGCCAUGCCGACUUUAUCGGGGUGACUUUUAGAAUCUGAGAAAUCGGGAUUUUGAAGAAUUCAAACUCAGUCGUACAUACUAAGUGACGCUUUAUUCUCCUCCAACCAUGAGUUCAAUACUAACACCGUGUGCAACAUACUCUUAAGACUGGAUGCUACACAUAGAUACAAUGCUUCGCUUUGUGUUUGGUUUGGUAGCGAAGUAAAGGAACAGUAAAAUGUUACCGGAUGUUCUCGCAAAAACAAAGUUUGGGAUAAAAUGCUGGCGUAGUUGAUAUGAGUGUCGGGGAAAUCAAAGGUUUCUUGUUCAAGUUUCACCACCUACGGUGCAUGAGCUUUUAUGUAGCUCGAUACCUUUGCUCAUGCCUCUGCAUUAUUAUAAAACAGUCGGAGAUAUUGCGCAAGUUUCCUAAAAUUAAAAACGACACUUCUAUUGUUUUUUAUUUGGAAUUAGAGUGGAGCAAUGUUGUUUUGUUUUGGUUUAGGAAAAUAACGCAAAUAGUCAUUAAACUUUGGUCCAAUGUGUUAUGUUCUUACUGAACUUUUAAUUUAUUUAGUAUGGUUGUCGAACUUUUUGUACAUGUUUAAUUUAGAUCCUAGGCUAGAUAAAUCUAAUGACGCUGUGUUUGGUCGUUCGAACAUCUUUGCUAUAUGGGAUAAUGAUAGGAUAAAAAUCCCAUCUAAUAUUUCUUGACGUCCGGAUAUAACAUGAUUCAAAUAAAACAAAUUUAAAUGAGUGUUUGAUUUGUAUAAUUAAAAUUAAAAGUAAACCAUGGAAGUCGUGAAUAGUAUUCAUCCUUUCACAAUCUUCAUCGAUAUUAAACACCCCCGUUCCAUGUGACUUCAAGGACGCUCUCCUUCUGCAACGCCCCUUUCGCUGCCCUUGAUCAACUUGAUGGAUUACGCUCGCUCUACCUUUGACUUCGCCACAUUGAGAGGCCCUUGGGUUUGAGUUCUCCGCUGGUCUAGCCAUCUUUACUUUCAACGCCUUUUCCUGCGAUGAAUCCAUCCCCUUCGAUGAGUGUGAAUACUGCGUUGAUUCCCUGUUACCGUGUCCCGACUUGUUCAGUCACUUCAACAGCUUCCCCGAGACAGCGUGCGGAUCCGGUUUAUGAGUGGUAGCAGCAUCGGUACAACUCGCUCCAAGUGACGUGGUUGAGGAGCUCUAUCACCUUGGCUGCUGCCUCUUUCGGAUCAUCUUCUUCACAGAGGAGGUGUCCAGCUUUGAUCGGGAUCACAAAGUUCCCAACUAAAAUGGAGUUAAGUGACAUAAGAAAGAGGCAGGGCUGACGAGCUCCGGCGCCACUUUUCCGAGGCAGCCAAAGGUGGUAAGCAGCUUGUCACUGGUAGGAGGAACGGUGGCCCUUAGAGUUUGCUCAGGUCGUUGUGGCGAGGGCUUCUCUAGGUAUCUUCGUGAUACUCAUGCUUUAAGUUUGUGGUGGUCAUUUUAGCGAGAAAAAUCGGAACGAGAGAGAGAUGAUGGUGGCACUGGUAAAAAAUGAGGAUAAGCCAUCAACAAGCGCAGGAGUGGGGGAAAAACUUGUAUCCCUUAUUUUUUCAAUUUUCCAAAUUUCACAUAUCCUAUCUAGAUCUAUAUCACUUUUUAGAUGGGAUUUUUUAUCCAGACUAUAUCUAAAUUUCACUAACAUCGGGACCCCUAGAGUGCCAAAAGUUUGCACAAAAAGACAAUUAAGUGUCAAAAGUUAUGAAAAUGACACUUAAGUGCUAAAAUUGGAAUAAAAUAGAUCACUUAAGUGCAAAUCUGGUCAAAAUAUUGACAUGACAAUUUUCCAGCAAAACAAGUGCAAAACGGUGUCGUUUUGGUGCUGACAUGGAAAAAAUUAAUACAAAAAUUAAUUAAAUGAAAUUUAAAAUUAAAUUUAAUUAAAACAUUUAAAAAUAAAAAUACAAAAAUUUUAAAAAAGGAGAGAGGCGGUUGAGGGCUGAGCCCUUGUCGCUAGGAAGGGUCGGAGAUGGAGGGGGGAGGGUUAGCCGGGGUUGCCGGGCCCUAGGCCAGGGGCCGGCGACCUCGGCCAACUGGUGGCAAGGGCCCGCGAGCCCUCGCCUAGUUUUGGGGCGAGGGUUGCGGCCCUCACCUAGUUGAGCCAAGGGCCGCCGAUCCUCGCAGAAUCUGGGUGAGGGCUGCAACCCUUACUAGAUUUGGGCAAGGGCUCGUGAGCCCUCGCUGCCGGUUAGUUGGGGUCGCUGGCCCCUAGCUAGGGCUCAGCGACCAUGGUUGACCCUCCCCCCUCCGUCGUUGACCCUUCACGGUGACGACAGCGAUGGCUCAACCCUUAGCUACCUCCCCUCCCCCCCUCUUUGUCUCUCUGUCUCUGUCUCUCUCUGUCUAUAUAUAUAAAUAUUUAUGAUUUUUUAAUACUUGUAUUUGUAUUUUUAAAUGUUUUAAAUAAAUUUAAUUUUACAUUUAAUUUAAUUUACAUUAUUUUUUUACCAUAUUAACACCAAAACGACGUCAUUUUUGCAUUGUCUAGCUACGACAGUGUGCAAAAUGAUGCCGUUUUGCACUUACUUCGCCAGAAAUUGCGUACAUCAGAGCCAUGAUUUCGUUUGUAAUAAUAUCCGUUCCAUAUGCUUAAUAGGUGAAUCCAAUGCUGAGAAGGUUUCUUCACAUCAUGACAGAUCUAGAAAUACUAGAAGCAUCUGUUUCUCUUACUGCAUCUCCAUCUUUUUCAACCCCUUCAGAUUUUCAUGUUUUAAAUGCUUCUAAGAUAUACUAUCUCUAUGAAAUCUCUCUUAGCGAUGAAACCAAAAUCUCUGAAACUUAACUUUCCCUGAUGAACUCAUAUUUUGCUUUUGCUAAACCCACCUCAUCCUUUUCUCCCAUUCGUUCCAUUCGCCAACUUAUUCGCCAAACUCCAAAGGAAGUAAAUGAGUACGUUAAGUCCUUCAAGUUCGACCAACAUCCCAUUCUCGCCAUUGAAAAUGAGUACUUUGUUACUCUCUAGAUUCCUCCAGAGUUUCCUAGGCAAUAGAUUCAAAAAGGAUAGUCUCAUGUCCAUUAUGGAGUUGUUCGUCUUGCUCUUACUUUUUAUGGCCGCAAGGGCUUGCCAGUUGUGGCAAGAAUAGCAUUACUGGAUACUAGAUUUCUAAAGUACUAGUAUACUUGUAUCAGUACUAUCCAAACCACUUUAAAUGUUGGAAUAGUUUUUGUGACUUUGUAUCCAAAUUUCAAUUUGCUCUUUCAAAUCCACAGUUACUUUCCUUUUUGAAAGUCUAAGUUUAGCUCACUGGAGCACCUCAGACAGCUGAUUCUGUUGUUGCAACACUACACUACUAGAUCGUUUAUUAAGUGCAGAACCAUGCUCUUGACUUGAAUUUCCACAAUGAAAAUGAAGAUGCUUUAUUCAUCUCCAUGCAAAAUGAUCAUGCAUCCUGCAUUCAUGUUCCCAGACAUAUCCCAAAGGAAAAGUUGCCAAGCUUCUUCUAGAGACUUGGAUCACUAACUAUGAAAAGUUACAUCAGAAUAACAAACCUUUCUAGUCUUCAGACUUUGAAUUUGUCAGAAAGAAAGAUGGAACUGUUUCCAUCAAAUUUGGCAAGGAAAAUAAAGAAAUUCUUUUUAUCUUCCAAAUCCUCUUUAUGAUCGAACCAUGUGUUCCGAGCUAGAUAAAAAAAAAAGAAGCUUGUUUAAUACUUCAAAAGUGAUUAACAUCAUGUCCAUUACUACAAAGACUAGUAUGGUCACUGUUUCUAAGAUCCUUUUUGUCAAUGUUCUUUUUGCACAAACUCUCCCGACGAGGUAGACCCAUAUGCAAGACCUCGACGGAAGCAUAAGAAGCCAAAAGAUCCUAUGUACCAAAGGUACUUGAAUGGAGAUCCCUCCGUUGAUACUCUUGGUGAGUGUGAUAAAUUCUAGUUUAUGGUUUCCUAUACACCAACUCCACCACCAGAGUUCAUUACUCCACUAAUAUCACCAAGUUCAUCACCAUCACCUCCUCCAUCUCCUCCAAAAAAAAAAGAAAACCAACUCUUUCCCCAUUUUAUAAGCCAAUCUUAAAGUGGGCGAAUAAAUAUUCCUACCCACUUGAGGCUCUAGCAGAACACCACCAAGUUCUUUCAUAGCCAUGUUCCAUGAGACAUACUUUCCUCUUUUUAUUCGAGAAAGUUAUAAUCUCGUUUCCUGCUCCAAAAGAAUUCAUUGAUCUACAAGGCAGAUAUCGGCAUGCCCCUAAGAUACCUACCCCCACUGAUGUGGAUGGACAUGGAAGAUAGAAAAGGACUCCUGUUGUUGAAGCUGUCCUAAAUUGGCAAUCGGAAACUCUUUUAGCAUAUAACAAUGCGUUCAAAGCAAUUGAUUCCAAGAUUGUAAAUGUGCAACAAGAUUUUCGAAAUAUGAUGAAACCACCAAGAAGAUGCUUUCAGAUUUCCAAAAGAGGCUUCAUGCCUUGGAAUCUAGAUAACAUUUAGGGUGUCAUCAUCUCGAAAGUCCUAAGGUGGAAAUAGAGAAGCUCAAAAGGCAAAUUCAACUCCUUGAAGAAGGAAGAUUCAAUCCAUUUCCGACUACUUUGCGGACAGAGCAUCCCCCUCUUCCACUAGCCCAUAACACAUCUAUCUUUGUUGCUAUCACAGAUGUUCUUGUUAGGCAAGAUAAGACAAAUGUGGCUGAAAUGCGAAAUCUUCUCAAAGAACUGGACUGAAUAAGAAAAGAAAAGGGAAAAGAGAAGAUGCCUAAAGAAUCCUUGCUUGUCAUAAGGAAAAAGCCAGAUCAAUUGAUGCUGUCGAAUCUAUUAGAAUCUUUCCGAAGAGAUUUGGGUAAUCAGGAAUCACAGUCUGAUCUUGUUACUCAACAUCUUGAUCCCGUCAUUCCAACAGAUCAGAUUCUAUUUUCAGCAGAACUAGCUUUUCCAAAUAUCUUUGAUACUGAAUUAAAUUCGGUAUCCCUCUUGUCCUCCUCAUCCUUCUCAAUCCCUACCAUUGAUUCCUUCCCUAUUGUACUAGUAAUUUCAUCAAUAUUCAUGAUCGAUCAUCCGGACCAAGAUAUGGAAUCAAACCAUUCUGAACCAAAGGUUGUUUAGCCAAACAAUCCCUCCCAGCACGUGUAUUUUGCAUCAAAAUAGUUUAUUUAUUUAUUUAUUUAUCGUUGAUGACAUUCCCUAUCACAAAUGGCCAUAAAGACUUGAAGAAUUUCAUACUUGGUUAAAUACCCAAACCCUUACCAACCAGGAUAAGUAUGAUGUCAUUUUUGAUUUUGUCACAAGGUUUACAGGUAGCCUCAAAUAUUGGUGGCAAUCUGUGUUAGAACAAGACCGGCUUCAAUUUUUACUCUCACUUGAUUUUGGUCAUGCCAUUAUCCUUCUAUAUCAUUUCUUUGUGGGAAAACCUUUUGACCUCCAAGAGCUUAAAAGGAGAGAAUUUUUCGAAAGAAGAUGCUGCUUCUUCCAGAAAAAAACAUCUUGAUAAAUAUUAUCGAGAAAUGUUUAAGCUCUUCUAUGGUAUUGGAGCUGAUCCAAACCAGAAACGCAUCUUCUUGACUUCCAUCCCCAAAGAAUUGUCUCAAUAGGUGGAGAGAACUUUUCUCAGCAAACAAAGAAGGAUUCAGGAUAUUCCGUUAGGAGAAAUCUAACAAGAAAUUCAUUUGUGCCUUGAAGAAUUGUGUAUCAAAUGCCAAAUGAUCCAGACUUAUGUCGACAAUAACAGAGAACUUGAUAUAGCAUGUUCUCGCCAUAAGCUAAAGAUCAAAUGUUCAAAGCGAGAUUGUGAUGGUUCUUGCGGAAAAUUUUCCAGAAAAAAGCACUUCAAGAAGCUCUGGAUAAUGAAAUCUAGGCGUGGCUCUAAGCAUUUUUGAAGAAAGAAGAAAUGGCGACACCUAUGCAAAAGGAAAGAUCACUCAGGCCACAAGAAGUCAAAUCAAUGCUUCAUCUGCAAUUAGAAAAGACAUUUUGCCAAAAAUUAUCCCCAAGCGAGAAAAUGUCAAAAUCAUAUGAUAUAUCAUAUAGAGAAUGAAACAGGUAAUUCUCUUGAAAAUGAUAAUAUCGAAUCUUUAUUAUCUGAGAAUGAAGAACCAUCUGAAUAAACUCUUUGUGUCAUUCCUUGUUACGAAACUUCUAGUGAAAUUGAUUCGGAUUCAAAUCCUGAAGAUAUUUUUCACAUAUCUCUCACUUCUUCAGAAUAAAGCACUAACAUAUUUUCAAGCUAAAUUCAUUGUCCCCAUUUCCCUGUGAAAAUCUUCACUUCAAAGUUUGCCAAGCCUUUCAUUGUCAUUGCUCUCAUAGAUACUGGAGCAAGUUCUUCAAUCUUGGACACCAAAGUUAUUCUUGAAGAAUAUUGGACUUCCUAUGUUUGAUACUUCAAUUCUACCUCAGGAGAUACUUUUUCUACGAAUGUAAGAACUACCCUAGUAAUCAUCUAAUUUUUUCCACAGUGUUCCAUAACCAUAAAAAUCUCUGGUUCCAGUCUUCCCCACAAGGAUUUGAUCAUUGGCUGGGAUAUCAUGACUAAAAUUUCUCAACUUCGUAUCAUUUCUAGAAAAUGUCUUAAGUAUAAGGACUAAUUUUCUAAAUUCGUCAAUAUCCAAAGACUUUUUUUCCAUCCAAAUGAGCCUGCUAGACCCCAUCAUGCAAAAGUUGUUAAAAUCAUGUUUGGAAUUUCAUUUUGAAUUUGCUCAAAAAUGUUCUCACCCUCUAUGGGAAAAUUUAGAGUUCUUUGUUUGCCUUCCUUUUUUAAAAAAAAAUGAGGAUAUCAAUCUAAACAAGGCGAGUUACAUGGGAAUGAAGUCAGAACACUUGGUUUUAACUCAAAGGGAAUGUUCGGAACUAUUGCAGCAAUGCCUUAUUGAAAUCUCCAAUUCUCAAUGGGCCUGUGAAGCUUUUUUAUGUCAAUAAGCGUGCCGAACAAAAUAGAGGAAAUAUGAGAAUGGUAAUUAACCAUCAGCCUCUUAACAUUUUUUUCCAAGAUGAUAAAUUCCCUUUACUCUCCAGAAAUUCCCUAUUUACUAGAUUAUCCAAAGCCCAUAUUUACUCUAAAUUCAAUCUCAAAGCCAGAUUUUGGCAAUUGUGCAUCCAUCCUAAAUACAGACCCAAGAUAGGGUUCUGUAUCAUGAACCAACAUUUCCAAAUGGAAAGUUAUUCAUUUUGGUCUAAAGGUGGUACUAUCCUUAUUCCAAAAGGUCAUGUGUCGAAUUUUCCAACUAAUUUUGUCAAGUGCAGUAAUAUACAUUGACGAUAUCGUGCUUUACAAUCUUAAUGAGCAGUCACACUGCCAACUUCUUAAACAGUUUGUAGAAAUUGUGUAAAAGCAUGGGAUCAUGCUUUCUCAAAAAAAGAUGAACAUUGUCCAUAUAUAAAUUGAAUUUCUUGGUAUGACCUUAACAAAGGUAUGUAUUAUCCAUGGCCAUAUAUUGCUCAUGAAUUGUUGAAAUUUCCUGAGGAAAAUUUCACAACAAAGCAAGUUCAGCAAUUUCUUGGAAUAAUUAAUUAUCUCAAAGAUUUCGUUCCAAACAUUGCAGAACUGUUGAUUCCAUUGAAAUUGAUGCUGAAAAAGAAUCCCCCACCUUGGAGAAAAUCUCAGACUAAAGCAGUCGUCGAACUUAAGGAGAUUAUGUAGACUCUUCCUCUGUUACAAAUCCCAUCGAUAAGGAAGAUAAUUCUCUAGAUCGGCGCCAGUGAUGAAUACUGGACAGCCAUCUUGUUUGAAGAAAUUGAUGGUAAGAGACAUCUGUGUACCUAGAAAAGUGGAAAAUUUUCCCAAGCUGAAAUGCAUUAUCAUUCCACUUUCAAAGAAAUCUUGGUGAUGAAAAAUGGAAUAAAAAAGUUCGAAUUCCAUCUCAUUGGCCAUCACUUCAUGGUAAAAUUGGAUAUCCUCAGAUGAUCAAGUUCAAACAGAAGCAGAUUUCGAAUUUUCAACUGCUUCAAUGGGCUGAAUGAUUUUCAAAAUACUCUUUUGAAACCAAACAUAUUGCCGGAAAAAAAAAUGUGCUUGCUGACUUCUUGUCAAGACCAAAAGCACCAGUAAAAAUCAACAUGUACAUCAUGAGGCAUGCUUUUCAUAUUCUUCAUAACAAUGAAAAGUAUAAGAUUGAAAGAAUACAAGACUAGUCAAGCUGGCAAUAUUACUAGGAGAUUGUGGAACAAAUCUAGAAUGACUGCCUUAUUGAAAAUUUGGAUAAUCUCAUGUGGCAAUUCCACACAGAUCUGUUUAGAUUUAAUGGGGGUUCGAUUCUUUAUCUUUUUAGAUUAAAUUCAGACUAUCCGUUCAUACAUCCUUUAAUCUGGAAGGAAGAUAAUUUCCCUGACCAACUUCGAUGGUUAUUAUGGUACUUAACCAAUAAGUACUGAAUAGUAUUGAAAUUCCAACUAGAAGAUUUAUUACCAACCUCACUAGGAUAUUUAGACUUGGCAGAUGAAACAUUGAAAAAGAGAGUGACAGAAAUCUCAUAGGUUUCCUUAAUUGGUUUUAUCCCUCUACUCACUGGAAAUACCUCUUGCAGAAAGAGCUGAGAACCACACAACUAAACCCUGAGGUCCAUAUUAUUUUGUUUUUUCGACGACCGUGGGCUUUUGUCACAAAUAAUGGUAGCAGUAGCAAUGCCCCCCAAAUUAUAGGUACCACAUCCUAUAAACCUCAACCACAUAGUGUAGAAGCUCAGAUUUACAAAUCUUAUUUAGAACCCGUUGGUUGCUACGAGCACCAGUAUCGAGAACUCCAAAGGAUUUUGUACUAGGAAAAUAAAAUCAUUCCUAAAGAUGCAUGGAACUAUAAUGUACCCACUGUAUGAGAUUAUUAUAGUCUCACACUAGAAGUUAAGGAAGCACUCGAAAUAUUCAGACAAGUUACAUCAUCACAGGAGCAUGAAAUGGCAGACACAGAUGACAUCGCACAGUCCUCUCAAGAUCCCUAUGUCAAAUGGGGAGGUCCUCUUUCUCAAGAUCCCUAUGACCAAGAAACUUUGUCCUUAUCUCAAAGCAUUGACACAUCCUACUAUACUCAGUCAUCCAAUUGGUCUCAGCUAAGCAUUCUUGCCAACACUACAGGCUCCUCUUAGAAUCAAGCGAAAGCAUCCUCGUCAAAUCAAAUUCUCUCACCAGAUUCACUUGUAGGACUUGAGAAAAAAAUAUGAAGAAUAGCUUAUGUCAAUGUAUAGUUCGGACGACUCAGACUAUGACUAUAAUGCUCGUGAUGGACGAGACUAUUGACCGUACAAGUCACUGUAGCAAGUCACUUUUCACUUUCAUUGUAGCAGUAGACUAGGGAAAUAACUGUUCAUUAUCAAUGUUCAUAUCGUGCGAAUAAUCUCCUAUGCCUUUAUUUGUUUCAAGAUUGUGAGAAUGAUCCUUGUUUAUGUGUGACCUCUUAUUGCCUAUAAAAGACAAGAAUGAUGUAAUGUGUUGGGCAGAGUCCCUUGAAGUAAAGUGAGUAUUUUGUGUAAAACUCUCUAUGGCUUUAUAAACUUAUCUUCUUCUCCAGUCUGGUAGGAUCAUUUGAGAAAUGUAGUUCGGAUAGUUAGAAAUGUUACCAUCCUGGUUCUAUAUGAGUGUUUCUAGACUCUGAACUAAAGGGAAGAGUGGUUUUAUGUUAAAAGGCUGUCUCUGAAGGGCUUGAACGGAAGAGGUUCACCUACUGUGGGGUAUGCCAACUUUUGGCACUUGAAAUAAUCUUUUGCCGAAUUUCACGUUACUCUAAACACCGGAUAUGAUCAAACUUUUACUAUCAAAGUUUUAUCUAGCCCAUCAAAGGCAGUCUUAUGAGAUAGGAUGCAAUGAUAUAAUCUAUGAAUUAGAUCAAACAUUUAUUAAAAGUUUAAGAACGAUAUUUCAUUUUUUGAAUGUUAGGAUGCACGAGUAAGUUAUGUUAAAACAAUCCCACAAUAUAUUGAUAGCUUUGAAAUAAGGCUUUCUCUUGGUGAUGACGAAGAUCCAUAUGGAGAAAUUAAUGGGAGGGUUUGUUUGGCCUAACUAAAUGAGAGGCUAUAUCAGUGGGAGGUUUUUCAUUGUAACCUUGUGCUUGGUAUUUGUAUUUUAGUAAAGGAUUUUGUUAGCAUAAUAGUUUCUGAGUUAUUGUGAGAAUAACAACUUAUUAUGAGUUACAAAAUUUUCUCUUUCUUUUUUUCUUCACUUCCUUCUCCUUCCUCCAACCAAUCAUCACUAGUGAUUGGCAAGAGGCAAGGUUGGUGAGGUACCUCGCUGGUCUCGAGGAAGCUUGACCAUGGUUAGGCAACCUUGCUCAUGGCUAGGCGACCUCGCCUAGGCCGCCAACUGGGCUGGUGAGGGUUGACCCUCGACGGCCAUGGGUGAGGACAAAUGCCGCUAGUUGGGCUUGCGAGGCUCGCCCUUAUUGAAUUUGGCGAGAGUUGAGUCUCAUUGGCCAUGGGUAAGGUCAAAGGCCGUGACCUCACGUGGUCUUUGGUGAGGCUUGCCAAAGGUUGGGCAAGGCUCACCGUCGUUGGACUGAUGAGGGUCGAGUCUCGUCGGCCAUGGGUGAGAUUGCAACUUGCCCAUGGCCGGCGAGGUGAGCCUAGGCCAAAGGCAGGCGAGACCUUGCCUAACCAUGGCGAGGGUGGCCUCACCAUUGUUGGGUGAGGCUCACCCUUGCUAGUGGUGUGUGGGGGUAAGCCUUGCCAUUGGUUGGCGAGGCUAACCUUGCUGGCUUGAGUAAAAUAAAAUAUUAUUAAAAGAUUAUCUACAUCAAUAUUAGUUGGACGAGCGGUGUUGGUCGGCCAAAAUUUCUGAAUGAAUUGAAUAGUAUAAUUGCAAAAUGUUUGGGAUUGAAUUGGCUAAAAAAAAAGGUCUAAGUUUGAAUUGGAAAAAUUACAAUAAGUUUAUGAUUGUUUUGGUACGUCCUCCCUAUAUGGGAAGGAUCGUGACUAUGCUUCAAUUGAUGUAAGCAAGUGCAUCUUCACAGCCACUACCGCUCCCCUCCUACUCUUUGUAGCUUAUGCUACUCCCCUCUUAUAAAUCUCGGCUCGCCUGACGCCUUCGCCAUUGUGUAGGGAACGAGCGAGCUCGAGCUAGACCACAGUAAUGGCGGCAUCGACAAUGACGAUAAGGAGGAUCAAGUUGGGGUUGCAGGGCCUGCAGGUGUCGGUGCAAGGGCUGGGCUGCAUGGGCAUGUCCGCCUUUUACGGGCCACCCAAGUCGGAGCCCGACAUGAUCGCCCUCAUCCACCAUGUCGUCGGCUCUGGCGUCACCUUCCUUGACACCUCCGACAGCUACGACCCCCACACCAAUGAAAUCCUCCUUGGAAAGAUCGGUUCUCUCAGUCUCUGUUUUGCCUUCGCAUGAACUAUAUGUGCUUAUAAUGUUACGGAAUGUAGCUUCAUCGAGCAGAGUGCUUUGAUCCUGCGCCUUGGUUUUCUGAUUUCGGGGUUGAUUUUGAGCAGGCACUAACGGGAGGGGUGAGGCAAAAGGUGGAAUUGGCGACCAAGUUCGGAAUCAGCUUCGCGGAUGAGAAGAAAGAGGUCCAGGGCGAUCCGGCAUACGUGAGGGCGGCUUGCAAUGCCAGCUUGAAGCGACUUGACAUCGAUUGCAUCAACCUCUACUACCAGCACCGUAUCGACACUCGCGUCCCCAUUGAAGUCACUAUAUGGAUCCCUUAUCAAACUUUCACCUCGCUUGAGACUUUCUCCGAGCCAUAUGAUUAGUUGCUAAAUUAGAUUGGUGUUGAUGAUGCAUCGUCAUGUUGUUACAAGUUUGUUGAAUUUUGUUAAAUGACACUUAAGUUCAGCUGAUAGCAAAGCUCAAGAUGCGGCACGGUGUUGUUCAGGGGUUGUGGAAUUUAGUAGUUUAAUGGCUUGAGUUUUCGUUUUGUGGGCAUCCUUUACAAGUUAAGGGUCAACAAGCAUGAAAAUCAUUCGAAAUCUUCCUUACCUUUGAGAUGAAAGUGCUCCGGGGUUCAUCCUGAUUUUUUUUUUUUUUGGUGGUGAAAGUAAGUAAUUGUAUUAAGCUUUGCCAACUAUACAAGAUGAAAUCUUGGCACCAAAACUUGCACUCAGAAUGACAUGACGUCAAUGCGAGUGGAAGGAUGCUGAGAUGAAAAAUAGCAAGCAAUAAACGGUGUUGACACCUAAAUUUUGGCGAUCCGAUUAUUUAUUUAUUACAUAAAAAUUAUGGGUCAAUUUGUCUCUUAAAAAAUAUUAAUUACAUAUAGAUUUAGGUGCAUUUAUUUUUAAUUUAAUUUUUUUGUAUUUUAUUGGAUCGAUGGUGGAUGGAUUCAAAUUAAUGGUUAUGAAUUUUAAAUUGACAAAUCGAACUAAGUUCACGAAUAUAAGAAAUUGGCGCAAGCCCGUAUUUGAAAAAAUUCUAUUGUAAUUUUUGAAAAAUCAAUAGAAAACAUUCAUUUUUGCAAAGGAAAUCAAGAAGAGCUGUGGAAAAUAAAAAGUGAUAUUACGUGCGGAAAAGAAAUCUUUGCAGAUGUUGAUUUAAAAAGGAAAUUAAAAUCCUAAUUUUUGGUCUAUAAAAAAGUAACUUAGUAUAGGGUUUUGGGGAGGCUACACAUGGAAUACACAGCCAGUGGAGGGCGAAAUUCGAAAAAAUUUGGAGAGCAAACGCGAGGGGGCUUUUUCCUUCGGUUGAUUGGAGUUGAGAAUUCAAGAAAAAAGAAGAAGAAAGAAUUCGUUUGUUUGUGAAAAAAGGCAGCAAAAGUGUGCAGAAAAAAAGGAAGAGACAGAGACGGGACAGGGAAGAGUGAUGUGAGAGAGAGACGUGGAGUAGAAUAAAAAAGAAAAAAGAAAGUAAAAACAGGGAAGACUGUUCAUCCUCGCAAGCGCCUCAACCGCUGUCGCCGAUCCCUUUCGCCCGCACCGGCCCGCGACCUGCAGCCGCCGCGCUCCGUCGCCGCCUCACCCGAGCCGCCGACCACCACCGCUCGCUGCUCACACUACCGCUGUCCCGAUCUGCCCGCUCGAGCGUCCCUACGCCGGCAGAUCUGAGCUGCUCGCCACUCCACCGCCGCGCGAGUUCCCGCACCGGUCCGCGCCUCCUCUGCUGCUCGUGCCGUGCCACCACCAGGGUUCCUCUCGCUCGCGAGCUCGCACCGCCGCCCCGCUGUGCUGAUCCGCGACGACCCGACGCUCCGCUGCUGCUGCUGCUGCACCUUCGCAGGUCACCCCACCAGCACCACCGUUCGUCGCCCUGGCUGUAGGCGCGACGACUCGACACCGCCUCUGCUCAGUCACUCCUUCACCCGCUCCUGCUGCAGCACCAGUCGCUGCAACCUCCGCCGUCGCUCUUGCAUCCGACCCGACGCCAGCAGCAACGAUCCAGAUCCGGCGCCUGCUGCAGCCACAGCCCGACGCCGCUCCUCUGCCCGCGACCCAAGACCGGACGCCCAGGUCCGACGCCCUGCAGCUCCCUCUCUGAGUGACUCCCGCGACUUCCCUCACCGGAGCAACCCACCACGUUGCUGCUUCGCUUGAAAAAAAGAAAAAGAAAAAGAAAACAAAAAAAGAAAAAUCAAUUUAGGUAAUUUUUCCUUUUAUUUAUCUAUCUUAUUUUAUUAUUUUUGUUAUUUAACUUUAUUUGUUCUUUUUCAGUAUAAUUAUUCCUUAGUGUAAGGAUGAGAUGUUCGACAUGAAAUAGCCUGUGAAAUUUGUGAUUGUCAGUCCGAUUUUCACGCCUAAAAUCCGACUUGCAAUCACUUAAAAAAAAUCGCUAAUCCGAUCUUCCGCCUAAGAUUCAAUUCGCGAUUUAUGUGAAAUUGACCAACUCGAUUUCAUGCGCGAGAUAUAAUUCGUCAAUUUGGAUAUCAUCUUGCUCCGAUUUGUUGUCGUGUCAUUUAAUUAAAUUUGCUUUCAUAAAAAAAAAAUGUAGGUUAGAAUUAGGUUUAUUCCCUAUUUUAGGGUUUACAUAUUUAAAAUAUGAAUUUUAUUUCGAAUUUUUUUUUAAAAAAUAAUAAUAAAUUAAAAAAUCAAAAAUCAAAUCAAUUAAUUUAGGUUGCUAGUUUUUUUUUUUUUUUUUUAAAACUUGGAUUGCAUGUUUAAUUGUUUGGCAAUUAUUAAUUUCGAAAUUAAUAAAACAAAAACGCAACAAAAAAUCAUCAUGCAUAUGUCAUAUAGAAUUAGGGCAUCUUUUGUAUGUCAUUGCAUAUUAGGGUAAAAUUGCUAAUAUUUUUCUUAAUUUAUUAUAAGUUUAGGUAUUUUCUUAGAUAGAUUGCAUUUUAGGAUUGCUUGGGUUAGGAUAAUAUUCUAAUUUAAAUUAGGAUUUGGCUUAACCUAAUUCCUAAUACAAAUUGAAUAGAAUCUUAAUCUAGUUAGAUAAUUUUCACAUUUAAUCUAAUUUCGAAUUUCAUGAAAAAUACAAAAAAAAAGUCUUAGAAUAAAUUGGUUUUAUUCUCUAGGAUAAAUUGCAUUCUCUUUAAGGAAAAAAGAAGAAAAAUAUCAUGUGCAUGCCAUAUAAGAUUAGACUCAUGAGAUGCAUACCAUUUAGUGAUUGUUGCUAGUCCAUUUAAUUAGAAAUUGCAUAUCAUUAGAAUUAGGUCAUUUAGUUAUAUUGCAUUGCAUAUUAUAUGAUUUUCAUUAAAUAAGUGAAAAUAAAGAAAUUGCGUAUUGAUUAGAAAUUAUAUUUAAAACCGUCGAUGUGAAUUUUGAUAUAACAUUGUAGAUGCUUUCGUUGCUAUGAAAUGACUAUUACAAUUUAUUCAUUAUUUAUCUGGGUGUUAAAUUGGUGGUUUGCGCACUCAUAUGAUCACUUCAUAUGUUAAAAAAAUAGAUUUAAAAUCAAUCCAAAUUGCAUGUAAAAACAUUUUUGAAAAUAAAAAGAAGUGGUACCGAAAGGGUAUUAGAGAAUCUAGCAUAAUUAAGUCUCUGAACUCAUAAAUCUCUAAUUCGUAGGAGUGAAGUAAAUCUCCCGUUACUUUAUUUGAAGAUUAAUGGCGACUCCUAACUGAAAUAUCGUUUGUAUGUUAAGAACUUAAACCCAAGUUGCAAAUUGGUAUGGCUUGGGAGAGCUUGAGUUAGGUCUAGGCUUAACAAUUCAUUAGCCAAACCUUAGGUGAUACACACCUGAAAAUUUGGUCGCGACAAAUGGUAACAGCCACCACACAGCAAAGAAGAGCCAAACAACGGCCACCACUAGCAACCAAAGCAAAAAACAAAAGGCAACCGAGGGAUCAAACAGACGCAGCCAGAUCACCCCAAGCACCAAACCAAAAAGGGAAAGGCACAGUUCAAGCGUCCCAGUUGAGAGAAGCCGUGACCGACACGAACCAGGGGAGGAGGAAUCUUCAGUGAAACAGCCAACCCCAAGGACCUCGGCGGUAGCUCAGCACAAGAAUGUCCACCCUAGAAGGGUAUCCAGUUAGAAGGAGAUGGAUGAUGGAACAACCAUUCUCAAGGAUCGAACUCGCCGCUGAAAUAGCAGCUACAUGGAAAUCAGCUUCGUAGAUUUGAUCAAGAAUCACCUAAAGAGAAAACAAUCGGAUCAAUGCCCCAGGCACGCUGGAGUAUCCUGUUCCUCGCGGUACUAUCGACAUUUCUGAAAGUUAGAGCCUUAUCCCGGACAACCCUAAGGAGAUGGUUCUUCAGGGCCGGGAUCGUAGGAGUUAGCUCUCUAAACAAAAUAUCAUUCCUGUUCUUUCAUAUAAUGUGACAGAGGGCUCCAAGGGGUUCAUCCUGAAUUUAUAUACAGGAAUCACAGAUAAAGUUGUUCCUGGACUUUAUGCGGAGACAUUUGAUUCUUGACAUAUUGUGAAAUAUGACAAGUACUUGGAAUACUUCUUUUAUUUGCUCUCUUCUGUGAGAGAUUCAGGAAAUCUACCUCCGUUAACUCAAUACCUUGUGACUUUUUUGUUGCAUUGUGAUGCAUGAUAAUUGAGGGAUCUAGACACAUAAAAAGCUAAUGCCAUGCAUAAUUUUCUGGAUCUUAACAUGUAAGAUCUUUCGUCCAAAAAAAAAAAAAAACAUGUAAGAUCUUGAUUUUGUUGUUUUGUCAUGUGAAUAUGCAUAGAUCGGAGAGCUAAAGAAGCUCGUGGAAGAGGGUAAGAUAAAGUACAUCGGUUUAUCCGAGGCCUCUGCCUCAACAAUCAGAAGAGCACAUGCUGUUCAUCCCAUCACAGCGGUGCAAUUGGAGUGGUCGCUUUGGUCAAGAGAUGUGGAGGCAGAGAUCGUUCCAACGUGCAGGUAGGAUAUCACUCUGUUAAUUGUUUAUGCAGCAACAACAGCUUCCUUCUGACUCUGCUUUUCCUUUAAAAUGUUGACUAGGGAGCUUGGCAUUGGAAUUGUUGCCUACAGUCCUUUAGGACGAGGAUUCUUUUCUGUUGGCUCCAAGUUGGUGGAGAAUAUCUCUAAGGAUGACUUCAGACAGGUCUGUUCCUGCUUGUCAACAUAAUUAGAUGCCAGUAUCGGGCUUUGGCCCUCCGUCCUUUUUCAUUCUCAUCUUUCUUCACAAGAUAAACUAUAUCUUGACACAACCAUUUCUUGAGUAAGGACUCCUAGCACCCUUCUUAUGAGAGUUUUGGCUCAAGUUCCCAUCUGACAUAAAGCCAAUUGUGUAUUACUCCCCGCCAUUAGCGUUUGACUAGCGAUAGUGCUGGGCAAGUGAAGUAGCUAUUUUUUUUUUUUUGUAGCUAAAAGAGCUUUGCGUCUGAUAACGUUCUUCUACACAUCAUCUACAUUUCUGAUUUUUAUUUUAUGUGUGACUCAGGAAAAUGAUAAUUGCUCAUAUGCUCUCUGCUGAGACAUUGCUCUAUGUUAUGCAGUAUCUACCAAGGUUCCGGCCAGAGAACUUGGCUCACAACACGAAGUUAUUUGACCGAGUGAAUGGAAUUGCACAAAGAAAGGGAUGCACCACAUCGCAGUUAGCCCUCGCCUGGGUACACCACCAGGGUGAUGAUGUUUGCCUGAUUCCCGGCACGACCAAGAUCGAGAAUUUCAACUAGAACAUUGGAGCUCUGUCAGUGAAGCUUACACCGGAAGAGAUGGCCGAGCUUGAAUCGAUUGCUUCUGCAGACAGUGUCAAGGGUGGCAGGUACGAUGGAAGCAUGUCUACAUGGGAAAACUCCGACACUCCACCCCUUUCUUAAUAAAAUUAUGUGUUUUUCUAGUAAGGGAUGUUGCGAAAACUUUAUUGUCUUUUGCAUGCGUAAUUAUAACUAUGAGUGUAACUAUGCGUAAUUACAACAUGUGGCGUCACACAAUCCUCAGCACUUGAAUUGGGGUCUAUCAAGGUAGUGCUUGAGUCUAUGAUGCUCAAGCUCUAUUCAAUAGCACUUAGGCUCGGGUCCGCAAAGAUUGUGCAUCAGUCCUCAAUGCUUGAGGUCGGCUCGUUAGUUAAUAAAACGUUUGUUCUUAUAAAAAUAAUUAUUUUUAAAAAAUCUAUUUUUUUAUAUUAUUUGUUUUCUUUCUUUUUAUUUUCCUUCUUCUCGGCUAGUUGCCAACCAUGGCGCCGAUUGCGCCUGAUAACAAGCACCGGAUGAGCUAGCCCAAGGCCAAGAAGACUUGAGAUUGCUGAUUUGGCAAGCUUGAAGCUGGUCAAGUGCAAGCUCGAGUUUCGCCCCGUGGCUAGUCGCCAACUACCACCGUGGCUAGCGUUCGGUCGAGGAAGAAGAAAAAGAAAAAUAAGUAAAAAUCUGAAUAUUUUGUAAUCUUCUAUAGGGAAAUCAAAUAAGAUUUUUCAUAUUAAACGAUAAAAAAUAUUUUCUAGUUUAUUUUUAAGACUUAACCAAAUAUUGAAAAUGACUUUUUGUAAAAUAUUAUUCAAAUAUGUCAUAUUUUUUGCGAAACAAACGGUACAUAAAUUUAAAUUUGAUAAUUGUCCUUGUUAAUUUGGUACACAUUAUCUGUCUCUUUGUUUUGUUGCUGAACUGAUGCUAAUCUCUAGAUGAAGCUUGACUAGUUUCAAUAGGCGGCUUGACUUUUGCGCUUCCUUUUUUUUAAAACCCAAAACACUCAAAACUUUCGUGAUACACGACUUUCGACAUGCAGAGUUACAAUCACUUCAAAUAAUUUAUCUGAAAAUUGUAUAGUGGGCCAUCCGAGAAAGGUGAGGGCAACUUGUCCCCCUAGAAAUUGUCAUGACGUGGAACUCUUGACAUGAAUUGAAGUGACUUUUGUUAAGAGUUAACUAGUCAAGAUCGGGCCACAUCUGUCCAUUCAUGUCCGCCACAUCCGGCCCCUCCAAUCGGACUCCCCGGCGAAAAGAUUCACGGACACGUGGCUGGAUCUAGAAAGUCACGGGUUUGACUUGUCUUUUGUGUCACUAUCAAGAAUGUGCAUGGUCCGGACGGGCGAUUCCCGACCUAGAAUCGGGAACUGCUUGCUAAGGACCGAUUCCAAAACAUUGAAACGGAGAUCCACCAGUUAGUUGAAUGAAUCCACUUGGGAACCAGAUCGCUGAUUCAGUCCGAUUUCUAGGUGGAUCUAUGGAACCGAUCUUGACGCUAAAUAAUUUUAUUUUCAAUAUAGAACGACUACGUGAUUUCCAUAACAACAGCUGGAGAGGUUGUAGAAGGAUAUCAUGGUAGGCACUUACGAUAAUCGUGAGGAAAUGAUAGCAAUUUUGGUUAAACUUGUUUUCUAUCAUGGCUAUCAUGGGUCGAAUAAAAUUUUGCAAGCAAAUUUCGUGUCCUAGGCAUUUUUUUUCUCUUAGGUGUGAUGCUUUAAAAACCCUCUAUGUGAUGCUUAGGAACCUUUGUUUGUGAUGAAGCCUAAAGAUUUAUUCCUUGUUGUGGACUUGUUGUCCUACAUCAAAAUCUCUCAGUCAAACUUUUUUGCUUUGUUUUGGUAAGUCUGUAUAAGGUAUAUUACAGAAGUUGCAUUACGAGAUAUUUCUUCCUUAUUGUCUUUUUAGUUUAACUAAGGCCAAAUUGUUUUGGCAUUUUUCCAAGCAUUUCAUUAUGGAAUGAUGAUAAGAAGCGAUCUUGACUUAAUGCUUUUAGUUAUUUGAUUUGGAUUUAUUAAUUAGUAAUUUCAUUUUUUAAUAUUAAAAAUUAAUAUAUUAUUUUAAUAUAAUCGGUUCGGUCUAGGUGGGCGGGUAGAUAGAUCCGCUCAUGGAACUGGGAACCAGACUGGUACUCACCGGUUCCCAUAAAUUGGAAUCGAGAACCGGACCGGUUCCCUUAAAAACUACCGGUUCUGGGCGGUCCAAGCGGGUUUCGGUUAUUUUGCACAAAGAAUUAAAAAUUCAAUUUUUUUUAAAAAUAUUUUAAAAAGAAUUAUAAAAAUUUUCAUUAAAUUUGUAUUGCAUAAAAAUGUUUUAACAAUACUUUUUUUUAAAUAAAAAAAUCAUAAAAACGAGCUUUUUAAGGGUUAAUUAUUUUUUUUAUGUUAUUGUUUUUAGUUAUUCAAAGGUAUGUUUACUUCAAAUAAGGGAAGCAUGUGCAUAGUUUAAUUCUUUAUAAAUAUUUAAAUGUUUUUUUAAACUUUUCUUAUUUUAUUUUAUUUUCUAUUUUUAAUUUAAUUUGAAGAUUUAAUCUAAUUAGCAUAUAAUAGAAGUGGAUUUUCCUAAAAUAUUAAGAGGUUUUAGCAAUACGAGUUGGAUCGGGUAUGUGUCGGGUAUAUAUGAAUAUGGAUCAGAAUAAGUUAAAUAGAUCAAAUAUGAGUUCAUUCGUUUUCGACCGGACUCAAAUCCGGCUUGAUCCGGUUUCGACCCAACCCAAAUCCGACUCGAUCCACUCAUUUAACGGGUCUAGAUUGAAUUGACGUAAGCACGUGCGUCUUCGUAGCUACUGCCGCUCCCCUCCUAUAAAUCUCGGCUCGCCCGACAUCUUAGCCAUCGUCACGGUGCAGUGCAGGGAACGAGCGAGCUCGAGCUAGACGACGGCAAUGGCAGCGUCGACGACGACGGUGGGGAGGAUCAAGCUGGGGUCGCAGGGCAUGGAGGUGUCGGCGCAGGGGCUGGGCUGCAUGGGCAUGUCCAUCGGCUACGGCCCUCCCAAGCCCGACCCCGACAUGAUCGCCCUCAUCCACCACGCCGUCGGCUCCGGCGUCACCUUCCUCGACACCUCCGACAUCUACGGCCCCCACACCAACGAAAUCCUCCUCGGAAAGG
rnacentral:lncRNA from 1 species